UGGCUUGGACCCCUGCAAUGACUUCUUACCUGGGUCCAGCCUCCUCUGCCCCUCCUGCCACCUGCAGACCUUCGAAAGGUCCUCUUUGUCUCCUUCUGGGAGCUGCACCCCUGCCCUGUCUUCCUGCUAAGCACUGGCUGCUUCCCUCCCCUCGUCCAGACUCAACCCCAUGGACACCUCCCCCACUGCUGCUCGCUCGCUCUCCCUUCUCAUCUCAUCCUCCUUCCUCUGCAGUGCUUAUUCCUGCCUGGAAUGCUCUUCACUGAUCCUCGUGUUUAUCAACCCCACUCUUCUAAUGCCCAUCCGUGAGAGCAGGGCCUUCUCUUUCCCUGUUUUGUAUCUCAAAUCUAGAACAGCAUCUUGCACACAGUAGAUGUUCAAUAGACACUCCUUAAGUUAAUUACUUAGUGAAUUAGCCACUUUCCCUUCUUUAACUGUAGCCCUCCCGUGGGGAGCAGCAGGAGCUGGGCAGGCGAGAUGGCCCAGGGGUUUUCUGGAGGGAAAGAUAGCAAUAGAAACUGUUGGCCCUGUGGCUGAGUCUGUGGGGAAUGGAGAGUCACUUGGGGUGACAUAGGGUCACCUGGAGCCUGCUAAUUCCUCAGAAGUGGUGGAACUCUUCCCACCUGUUAAUGAAUGGCCCGGUGUGGGAACUGGGACCCCAGCCCUGUGCUUCCCUGGAGCCAGUCUGUACCUGGCCUCAGGUAAUCAUGCCACAGGGAAUCUGCUCCACAUCCUGGGAAGUGGAGAAAGAAGAAAUCAACCAAACAGCAGGGUGCAAAGGAGGGGGCUUGCCUUGGGGACUGGAAUGAAUGCUCCUCUGUGGUUUUACUGUUUCAGCCACUUCCGUGGACACUUAGGGUGUGGAGGGAAUGAAUUAGGCGAGCCGUGAUGGCAGCAGGCCACAGAAAUUAAAGGGAUGGCAUUUGUUGAGUGGGUACUCGGGGACUUCUGGGCUGAAGUAAGAGGAGGCUAAGCCCGGCAAGGAGCAGGGAUCACAACAGUUCCAGGGCACCUGGCUGGCUGGCCCAGCCAUGAGAUUUGAAACCUCGUCUCCUGGUGCUGCCAGAUCCAUGGAGCCUGAGUUCUAGGUCUCUGUUCAUCCCUAACAUUCCUGGGUGACCAGCUGAUCAGCAAGCCACAGGCAGGUGGCAGAGUCCUGGUCACAGAUGCAACCGGCCCAGGGACAUCUGUGAGCCUGGAGAAAGCACACAUCAAUGGCAAAGGCCGGGACGCAGCCACCUGGGAGAGUGGCAGCCCCGGCCUCCUUCCCUCCUCCAGGGAGCAUUGCUGCUGUGGUUUAGGAACACUCGUUUGCAGUUUACUUAUUGACCAGCCAAAGUCUUGACAGUUUUAAAGAACACUCUUUAAUUUAUCUCAAUGUCCAAUUUCAGCCCUCCCAGUUCUGGCGAACCUUCCUCUGUCCCGACCUUGGUUAUUCAUUCCAUGUGGGCUCCUCUUUCUUCUUAGCCUCUCCACCUACAUUGUUCUGGAUGCUUCUCAAGCUUUUCUCCUGCUCAGCUGGACCUCUUUUGUGCGGUGUCAGUCUGAUGUUUCGCAGCUUCCAGGCAUUAUUUUCAGGGGUCUUUUGCAAGUCUUCUAUUUUUGCCCUCAUUAAAAAAUAUCGUGGGCUGCUCUGGUCUUAAGGUUGCUGUGCCCUCUUUCAUUUCCUUGUAAGUAGGUUUCUGCCAUCCUCUGAAAUUUCAAGUGGGAAGCCACCUGGAGGCUAGGUGAACAGGGCAAGGGCAUUGCCCCUUCCUGUGGGAGCCCCUCCCUAGGUCACACGUGACUUUUCCUCCACUUGCUCAGAAGUCUUUCCAUUUAACUGCCUUUCCUCUUCAGCGGCUGCUGAGGGUUCCUGGUUGUGGGAGAAUGUUUCAGACAUGGCCCUCUGUCACCUUCUCUGAAGGCAGUGGCCUGUAACAAGAUGAAAGUGGAUAAAGAUAAAAAAGAUUCAAAAAAAUGGUAAAAGUACAGAAUGAGACCUUUUGACAAGGCUUAUAUGAAAAUUUUGAAGUAACUCCGUCAAAUGGCUACAUUAAAUGUAAAAGUGGUAUAUAAUUUAAAAUGGCCAAAUAAUAUGUAAAGUGACCCAGUUCUGUUUUCUUCCAGAUUCAGAAGGGAAUUGGGCCAUUCCUUCUCCAAAGCAGAACGUACUGCAGCUGUGAGAGUUCUAGGAGAAAAUUCAGCUGGCUUUUUCCUUUAAAUACUGAAGCCCUCGAAAUCAUCUUUGGAGAAAGGCACAGACCUGUCUCCCAAGACGUGUCCUUAAUCUUGGCAAAGUAAACUUCUAAGUUGAUCGAGGCUUGUCUCAGAUAUUUUCAGGUUUACAGAAAGAAAUUCAAUUUCAGUCACAAACGGAAUGAUAAAAUAAGUUGUUACGCAUCCAUAGAAAGAAGAUAUUAACAUGAUGAACUUUCAAAUCAGCUUCUCAAGUGUCAACAUCCUGUUGCGAUUUUCAUUGAUAUUGAACUGAAUUUAUAGAUUUUGUAAGCAGAAAAAAAUUAUUUUAAUUUUUUGAGAAAAAAAGUUUUAAAUGGUUUGUUUUCAGACUGUGUCAAGAUAUCCCUACCUCCGAAGUUGUCAGGUUUGCGGACCUUGGGGUGAAGCGUGGGGCUGCUGGAGGCGUCCAGCCCUGACUGUGUGUCCAGGACAAUGAGCCCCGAAGUGAGCGGGCCGCGUCCUGUUGGCGCAGCCAACUUCACGCCCUCUGUCCAGGGAGGACUAAGGGACAAGCUGCAGCAGGCGCAGAGGACGCUGUUGGUGUCCGGGAGGCCGCUGGUACAGGGCGUUGGGCGUGGCUCCUUUCCAAGUGCCUUGCACUUUCCAGGCUGGGCUGCAGAAGCAGGCUCGGGGGCGACUCGCGUGGGGACUGAAGCAGCCAGCCUUGGCACCUGCCCACAGCAAAUAACUGCCUUGACUUGAUCUGGUUUUUUUGAAGAAAGGUUUAUUCAUACCCAUUAUGUGCGCAUGUGUAAAUUCAAACCCACGGCUUGCCGGAGCCUGGGCUUUCUCGAACAUCAGUUGCUCCCAUGCUACCAUUUUGCAGUUUGCCCGUCUCCAGUAGAUGAUUUCUGAAUAUUUUAAUCAACUCAUUAUUAACCAUUCACACGUCUACCUUAGCCUCAUUUUAAGCAAUUGCACCUGUGGGUUUCACAGGCCUGCUGUAUUUUUAGUACAUAUUAAAUAAAGCAUGUCUGUUGGGGCGUGCUGUGCUUGCCCACCUGCCAUGUCGAGUCAUUGUAGCCGCACGCUGGCAGAGAGGACGGAGCCUGAGUCCGGGUGCCGAAGGCGUUGGUCUUGCCCGGGCUUUGGCCCCAGCCGCUGCCAAAGACCUAGAGGAAAGAAUUUCAGCGUUAGGGCUUCAUCCGCCUAUCGUGGAAUCAGGACUUCGACUCAGCGCUCCAAUUGCUGGGGCGGUGAAAGGCGUAUCCCCGCGGCGCGGCGCCUGAGGGAGCCUC
rnacentral:lncRNA from 1 species